GCCUGGGUGGCGGAACUGGCAGACGCAACGGACUUAAAAUCCGUUGUCCUUAUGGACGUGCGGGUUCAAGUCCCGCCCCAGGUACCA
rnacentral:tRNA from 1 species